GACGUAGGGGACGAGCGUUGUCCGGAUUCAUUGGGCGUAAAGCGCGCGUAGGCGGUUUGGUAAGUCGGAUGUGAAACCUCCAGGCUCAACCUGGAGACGCCAUCUGAUACUGCCGUGGCUUGAGUCCGGUAGAGGAGCAGGGAAUUCCUGGUGUAGCGGUGAAAUGCGCAGAUAUCAGGAGGAACACCAGCGGCGAAGGCGCUGCUCUGGGCCGGUACUGACGCUGAGGAGCGAAAGCGUGGGGAGCGAACAGG
rnacentral:rRNA from 1 species